UACGUAGGGUGCAAGCGUUGCCCGGAUUUAUUGGGCGUAAAGGGCGCGUAGGCGGCUCGGCACGUCCGUUGUGAAAUCGCCCGGCUCAACUGGGCGGGGUCAGCGGAUACGGUCGAGCUUGAGCAAGCUAGGGGGCAAUGGAAUUCCCGGUGUAGUGGUGGAAUGCGUAGAUAUCGGGAGGAACACCAGUGGCGAAGGCGGCUACCUGGACCAGCAUUGACACUCAAGCACGAAAGCGUGGGGAGCAAACAGG
rnacentral:rRNA from 1 species